AUUUCUUCGGAAUGAAGAUUUUGUGACUGAGUGGCGGACGGGUGAGUAACGCGUGGGUAACCUGCCUCAUACAGGGGGAUAACAGUUGGAAACGACUGCUAAUACCGCAUAAGCGCACAGGGUCGCAUGACCUGGUGUGAAAAACUCCGGUGGUAUAAGAUGGACCCGCGUUGGAUUAGCUAGUUGGUGAGGUAACAGCCCACCAAGGCGACGAUCCAUAGCCGGCCUGAGAGGGUGAACGGCCACAUUGGGACUGAGACACGGCCCAGACUCC
rnacentral:rRNA from 1 species